rnacentral:sRNA from 1 species
GGAGUCACCCAUCAGCGAAGCUGAUUUAGAUGUGACGACCGAUUUGCCGCUGAGCGAAGCGAGGGGGCAUUACCA